GAGAUUGCGCUCCACAGUCAACACACCUGAGCAGAACUGUUGAUUGCAUGCCUCCUUUGGAAUCACCCUCAGGAAACAUGAUCGCUAGACCUUGGAGAAGAGGCUCUCAGAUUGUGACUCAUGCUAAAUGCAUGAUUGAAGAGGGAAAAUUUCAGCAUACUGUCUUCUGAAAGCGAACUGGAAAUGAUUCCAAACAAUCAAGCAAACAAACAGAGAAGAAAUGAAUCAGAUUCCUCAUUUCUCUAGAGAAGUACAUAGAAGCAUAUGUGCUACCUUUCCUGCUCAGCUCUGGUCAGCCAGUGGUGAUGGACCCUUUUUAUGUCAUGUGAAACCGGUGAGGGGCAGCCUUUGGGCCGGUGAAGUUAAAAAGAAUCAAGCGGGUAAAUAGAAGUCAGGCUUGUGAUCAGAAAGAUAAAUAUGUUAUUUGCUGACCUUUCAUUUAAAGGAUACAGAUCAUCACAAGGCACAGGAAAAGAAUGAAGAGUUGAACUGGAGAGCAGAAACUUCACCCUUUGCUUUGGAUCACACUACUGAUAUUUGCAAGUCUCAAUCAUUGGCAUGGACUUUGGUGCAAAUCAAAGGCAGAGGAGGAGGAGGAGGAGGAGGAGACCUCAAAUAACAGAAAGAAGAUAUUCAAAUGACAAGAAAGUGGAAUAUAAAAAGGAAACUGAGAUUACAGGCCCAUUCUGUCUUUAUAAUAGAGCUAAUGUCUUGAAAUUGGAAUUAUAUAGUUUACUUGAAUAAUCGUGUUGAUAUGCCCGUAAGUGGAAAUGAUCUUCCUAUUUCAAGACAUUUAAUGCUCCAGAACAUUCAAUCUCUUAAUGAGGAGAGGCGACUGGUGAAGGUGCACUGCAGUUACAGUGGAGACCCCAGCACAUUUGACAUGCCAGGAGCAUGGGAUCUCCUCUGAGGACAGAAGACACAGUGGAGUUGAGCUUGCCUGAGUCUACAAAGCAAGCCCAGACGAUGGAAUCCAAGUAGCAAGCUGAAGGUUUUCCUGAAACCUUGCGAGAAUGCAGUGCACCUGGGAUAUCAGCUCAUGUUUUCUCCUGCAUGUCA
rnacentral:lncRNA from 1 species